GUGUGACGCAGCUAUAAUGAGCUCGCGUAGCGUGUUAUGAUGCGGCGCUGGGGAGACCAUUGUUUAGGUUCCUCAUAUUUGGGGAGGAGUUUACGGGAACAAUAGAAAACCUCCCGUGAUAUGACAGGUCCAGGGACAAGAGAACAAGUAAAGUUACUGAGAAGAACUCUAAGCAGACAGGACAUACAGUUGUCACGGGAAGAAUAAUGCAUCGGUCCAAACUUCAGGGCACCGGGUGGUCUUGCUGUUCUCCUCCACUCCCUCAGAAGAGACAUCACAAGUUUUUUGUACAUGAGGUGUAGGAGAGGGCAUUUCCAGAAAAUAUGAGAUAGAGACUCCGUCAUUCCGCAUUCUCUCCAGCAGUCCUUUAAUGACCUUCAAAUAUGGAAGCCAGUCAUACAAGGGAAAGGACUGCAUGAGUGUUCUUAUGACAUAUGGUAGAGGAGGAAAAGGAGGGACCUCUGCCCAACAGCUCUGGAAGAACUGCAAUUUAGAGAUGAAGCCUCCAGAGCAGAAAAUCUGAUGCAAAAUACCACAUAUCAAUUAUACAGUAUAAUGACCAGAAAAAGUUCUGUUCUGAAAAGUUACCUGAAAUGACAGGGAGGUUUUUAGUGGCCGAGCAUUUGUAAACAAACCAAAAAUGAAGCAGUAGAAGGAAUCUUUGUCAUGUACAGUGACACUGCAAGGUGUUCAGAAUCUUAGAUCCCAAAACACAGUUGCUGUUGGGAACAGUGUAACUUCCAUUGAGAAUCUGAAUGUUGACAUUAAGACAUCACUGGAAUUAAGAAAGCCAACAGUGAUCAGACUACAUUUGUCAACACAAGCUUACAUAUCGGCAACAACAUGUCAAACUGGAUGUAUCUUUAUCGUCUUGGAAAGUUGGAGACACAAAGUCACAGAGCUGACCUGUCUCAUAGGUUUAGCUGCUUGGAGCUAAAAUGCAGAAGACAAAAUAACAUCAAUGUCAAGGACCAUACAAAUAAGCUGUCAGAGAAAAAAUUAUCCGGUACUCUAUGAAGAGAAAACAUGCAUUGAAAUAUUGAACUACAGUGACCCCCCCGACCUACGAUGGCCCCGACAUACGAUAAUUUCAAGAUACGAUGGCCUCUCAGAAGCCAUCGCAUGUUGAAGGCAGCAUCAACAUACAAUGCUUUUCUAUGUCGGGCCAUCACAUAAACGGCUAUCAGGCAGCGCAGACUGCUUCAGCUGUCACCGGAUAGCCAUUUACAGUGCCCCGUGUGGUCCGCUGAUGAUCACUUACCUGUCCUCGGGGCUCCAACGCGUCCUCUUCGGGAUCCCCUGCAUCGUCGGCGCUCUCCAUCACGUCGCUGCGCACGCCGUCCCGUCAUCCAAUAGGAGCGGCAUGCACAGCAACGUGAUGGCGGUGACGGAGAGAGAGGAUGUCGGGGAAGCAGAGGCCUUGCCGGAGCGUCGAUGACACCACGGGGACGCGGCGACAGCGAUGGAAGGAAACAUCCAGGGCAGCGGUGACGGUCCGGAGCGGCGGGGACACGCCGGUGCUUUGUGGACUUGUAUAAAGAAAGAUGUCCUAUUGAAAAUCAAAGUUAAAGGACCACUGGAAGUUUGCCCAAGGGAAGUUAGUACUUGGCAAGAGAAUCAACAGCUAAUCAAAACCGUCUGUGUGUUCCGCACAUUUCGAGAUUAUAUUCAUGUGAAAGGAGUAAAAAGAAAAUGUUUGGCUUGAAUAAAACUGU